rnacentral:rRNA from 1 species
AACGAACGCUGGCGGCACGCCUAACACAUGCAAGUCGAGCGCAGUCCUUCGGGACCGAGCGGCGGACGGGUUAGUAACGCGUGGGAACAUACCCUUUUCUACGGAAUAGCCUCGGGAAACUGAGAGUAAUACCGUAUACGCCCUUCGGGGGAAAGAUUUAUCGGUGAAGGAUUGGCCCGCGUUAGAUUAGAUAGUUGGUGGGGUAAUGGCCUACCAAGUCUACGAUCUAUAGCUGGUUUGAGAGGAUGAUCAGCAACACUGGGACUGAGACACGGCCCAG